GGCUCUUUAGCUCAGUUGGUAGAGCAGAGGCCUGAAGAGCCUUGUGUCCCAGUUCGAGUCUGGGAGGAGCCACCA
rnacentral:tRNA from 1 species